GUGGUUAGUUUGAACUAUUGUGUAUAUAUCUUCGUUCUUAGGCUUUGCGAGUUAAGCCACCAAUGUGUGUUACCAAAGAAGACGCUGACUUUGCCGUGUCAGUGAUGAGGACCGCCUUACAGAACUACACAGAGAAAAGAAGCUAGGUCCAGCAAAUUAGAACUAUACCAUGCACAUUACUUAAAUUAAUUACAUCUAAUUAGAACUUUGUAGUGUAUAUGUAAAUGAAUAAAUGAACAAAUGUAGUGAUGGUUUUAGAAUACGUAAAAGUGCAAUAAAUAAACAUGUCA
rnacentral:lncRNA from 1 species